AUUGAACGCUGGCGGCAGGCCUAACACAUGCAAGUCGAACGAGUGGCGGACGGGUGAGUAAUGUCUGGGUAUCUGCCUGAUAGAGGGGGAUAACUACUGGAAACGGUAGCUAAUACCGCAUACUAUCGGAUGUACCCAUAUGGGAUUAGCUUGUAGGUGGGGUAACGGCUCACCAAGGCGACGAUCCCUAGCUGGUCUGAGAGGAUGACCAGCCACACUGGAACUGAGACACGGGCCAGACUCCUACGGGAGGCAGCAGUGGGGAAUAUUGCACAAUGGGCGAAAGCCUGAUGCAGCCAUGCCGCGUGUAUGAAGAAGGCCUUCGGGUUGUAAAGUACUUUCAGCGGGGAGGCGUUACCCGCAGAAGAAGCACCGGCUAACUCCGUGCCAGCAGCCGCGGUAAUAC
rnacentral:rRNA from 1 species